rnacentral:rRNA from 1 species
AUACGGAGGGUGCAAGCGUUAUCCGGAAUCAUUGGGUUUAAAGGGUCCGCAGGCGGAUUAAUAAGUCAGUGGUGAAAUCCUCUCGCUCAACGAGAGAACUGCCAUUGAAACUGUUAGUCUUGAAUUCGGUCGAAGUAGGCGGAAUGUGUCAUGUAGCGGUGAAAUGCAUAGAUAUGACACAGAACACCGAUAGCGAAGGCAGCUUACUAGACCUGGCUUGACGCUCAUGGACGAAAGCGUGGGGAGCGAACAGGAUUAGAAACCCCUGUAGUCC